AAGCGCUUGCAGCCAGACUUGCUUGUUAAAACUUGCAGGCCAGCAUCAGUCCGGGCGGUUGGAUAAAGGCCUAUUAAACGUACCUCUCCUCGGGGAGGACUUAUAGGGUAGGUGACAUGCAACCAGCCUGG
rnacentral:rRNA from 1 species